rnacentral:rRNA from 1 species
UACGUAGGGGGCAAGCGUUGUCCGGAUUUAUUGGGCGUAAAGAGCGUGUAGGCGGCCAGACAGGUCCGUUGUGAAAACUCGAGGCUCAACCUCGAGACGCCGAUGGAAACCGUCUGGCUAGAGUCCGGAAGAGGAGAGUGGAAUUCCUGGUGUAGCGGUGAAAUGCGCAGAUAUCAGGAAGAACACCCGUGGCUAAGGCGGCUCUCUAGUACGGUACUGACGCUGAGAAGCGAAAGCGUGGGGAGCGAACAGG